GACGAACGCUGGCGGCGUGCCUAAUACAUGCAAGUAGAACGCUGAAGGAGGAGCUUGCUUCUCUGGAUGAGUUGCGAACGGGUGAGUAACGCGUAGGUAACCUGCCUGGUAGCGGGGGAUAACUAUUGGAAACGAUAGCUAAUACCGCAUAAUAGUAGAUGUUGCAUGACAUUUGCUUAAAAGGUGCAAUUGCAUCACUACCAGAUGGACCUGCGUUGUAUUAGCUAGUUGGUGGGGUAACGGCUCAACAAGGCGACGAUACAUAGCCGACCUGAGAGGGUGAUCGGCCACACUGGGACUGAGACACGGCCCAGACUCCUACGGGAGGCAGCAGUAGGGAAUCUUCGGCAAUGGACGGAAGUCUGACCGAGCAACGCCGCGUGAGUGAAGAAGGGUUUCGGAUCGUAAAGCUCUGUUGUAAGAGAAGAACGAGUGUGAGAGUGGAAAGUUCACACUGUGACGGUAUCUUACCAGAAAGGGACGGCUAACUACGUG
rnacentral:rRNA from 1 species